rnacentral:rRNA from 1 species
CUGCCGCCGGCGACCGGCGCACGGGUGAGUAACACGUACGCAACCUGGCCGUGACAGAUGGAUAACCGGGAGAAAUCCCGCCUAAUACAACAUAAUGCCGGGAGGGGACAUCCCCUGCCGGCCAAAGGGGGCGACCCCGGUCACGGAUGGGCAUGCGGCGCAUUAGGUAGUUGGUGGGGCAACGGCCCACCAAGCCGACGAUGCGUAGGGGUUCUGAGAGGAAGGUCCCCCACAUUGGAACUGAGACACGGUCCAAACUCCUACGGGAGGCAGCAG